UUCUGCUCCGUUGUGUCGGUCGGGCGAUCCGUAUCUCUUACAAGUUCAAAGUUCGAAUUACGUUUAAACAGUGCCGAGAGCAUGCCAAAUGUGCUAACAGAUGAUCGUUUCGAUACGUGCAUCACAAUGUCGUAGAAAUUAUACGUGGAAAACGAUCGUACUAGUUCGUGAAGUGCGGUGUGCUCUUGUCGCUACUCCGGGCUUUCGCGCGCGCGGAUGUGAUGCGGCUAGUCAUCGUGUAACAUUAAUUGGUUCACGGUAGAUAAACGACAACAAGUUGUUUCGAAAUGUUUCGUUGUAUUUACGCGUAUGCAUUCGUACAAAUGGCUCUCGUCGUCGUCUCGUCGUCAAGCCGCAUCACGAAAUUUCUCGCAUGACGUCACGCGUCGAUUCUCGAUUCUUCUUCAGAUCCCGCGUCCCGCCGCUCGCCAUUUUCAUCGUUUUUUGCCUCCGUACCUCCCGCGUUUUUUUCACUGUGCGUAAAUACAACGUUGAAAGUAACGAACAUAGCAGGCGAUCGCUUUGAGCAAGUGAAACUAUCGCUUAUAGAUAAUCGCGUUUGUAAGACGCGACAUGUUAGAAUCUGUUGCAUCGCGAAAAGUUAUACUGUUGUGCGCGCGUUUUACAUUUUACCCGCUUUCGCGUGUAGUGUAUUUUCCGGGCAAUGCUGGGAAUGCCGAGUGUCAUUGGACGAUCGUUAUUAAUGUGCGACUCGAGGCAAGGAUUACUUACAAAUAGAGUAAGACUUGACUGAUUUCUUGAGUGAGUAACCUUUUGGUUUGUGGAGUACAGCGAAACGAGGAGUCGGUAGAAUUUCGGCGAGAAAAACGCAUCUUUGGAGCAUCUCGGUGUUUCUCACUCACCUGUAUUCUACGUCCGGUGGAUUGGCCUCGGCGCAGCAUUUGAACCUAAGCUCGGAACCUUCGACGAUGCGAUCGAUCUUCGAGAGGGAUACCUUCGGUGCGUAACGUACCUGAAAAACAAAACAAGGCCAGCGGAGAUCGAUCUCGCCGGUGGAUGGAGGUAGAAAGGUCAGGGUGCGGAAAUCGUGAGGAGAGAAGACAGGCGUCGGAUGUGGAGAGAGGAGAACAGGAUUUAUCUCGUCAUCGAGAGAGAACCGAAAUCGUAUUGUGGACGUAUUAAUUGUGGAGAAUUCUAAAAACUGGGUGUUAAUACAGGUGUGGCGUAUGUUAUCGCGAUCUUGUUAAUGGCCGCAUGAUUUUUGGUUUGAGAGUCUUCGUCAUUACAUUACGUUAAUUUCCGAAACGUUCCAAGUAUCGAGCGUACAUCACGGUUUCGUGCGAUUUCGUUUUUCUUAUCUUCCGUCGUAAAAUACGGUUAACAUCGGGAGUGUCGUCUCAUUUUAAUUGUGUAAUUAGUGCGCGUUAAUUGAAAGUAUUUCCGCGAGUGAGUGCAACGGAGGAAUCUGAGAGGAUGAGGAGGCCUGAGAGGCAUCGA
rnacentral:lncRNA from 13 species